UAGCAAGAGGGUGUCAUUUGAGACUCAUCCACUGAUAUCACUGAGGAUUUGGGCUGGGGCUCAGCUCUAGAGAUUGACACAGCCCUCUGCUUUAAUGGGCAUCACGGCAACUCCCCCCAUGGGAUCCAUUUUGUGCCUUCCGUUUGUUAAACCGUGUGCACUUGCCAAAUCUUCAUAUGGUAGUGGAGUUUAUUGCCCUUGUUGGGCUAGGUAGGCUAGGUACAGGGUUAGGCUAGGUACAGGGUUAGGCUAGGUAGGCUAGGUACAGGGUUGUAGGUAGUAGAAGAAGGCAGGGUUAGGCUAGGUACAGGGUUGUAGGUAGUAGAAGAAGGCAGGGUUAGGCUAGGUACAGGGUUGUAGGUAGUAGAAGAAGGCAGGGUUAGGCUAGGUACAGGGUUGUAGGUAGUAGAAGAAGGCAGGGUUAGGCUAGGUACAGGGUUGUAGGUAGUAGAAGAAGGCAGGGUUAGGCUAGGUACAGGGUUGUAGGUAGUAGAAGAAGGCAGGGUUAGGCUAGGUACAGGGUUGUAGGUAGUAGAAGAAGGCAGGGUUAGGCUAGGUACAGGGUUGUAGGUAGUAGAAGAAGGCAGGGUUAGGCUAGGUACAGGGUUGUAGGUAGUAGAAGAAGGCAGGGUUAGGCUAGGUACAGGGUUGUAGGUAGUAGAAGAAGGCAGGGUUAGGCUAGGUACAGGGUUGUAGGUAGUAGAAGAAGGCAGGGUUAAGCUAGGUACAGGGUUGUAGGUACAGGGUUGUAGGUAGUAGAAGAAGGCAGGGUUAGGCUAGGUACAGGGUUGUAGGUACAGGGUUGUAGGUACAGGGUUGUAGGUACAGGGUUAGCGUAGGUACAGGGUUAGGCUAGGUACAGGGUUAGGCUAGGUACAGGGUUAGGCUAGGUACAGGGUUAGGCUAGGUACAGGGUUAGGCUAGGUACAGGGUUGUAGGUACAGGGUUGUAGUUAGUAGAAGGCUAGGUAGGUACAGGGUUGUAGGUAGUAGAAGGCUAGGUAGGUACAGGGUUGUAGGUAGUAGAAGGCUAGGUAGAUACAGGGUUGUAGGUAGUAGAAGGCUAGGUAGGUACAGGGUUGUAGGUAGUAGAAGGCUAGGUAGGUACAGGGUUGUAGGUAGU